ACUGGACAUCACACAACUGUCACAAGUUCCCUUAAAAUUUUGACGUCAUCAUAAAAAAUAUCUGAUGCCACAAUGGAAAAGUGAUUGUUGUUUGACGUCAAAAGUUCAAGCAGGAUAGAUUCUCGGGUCAAGCGGGAAUAGCGAUAAGGUGUAUUAUUGUAUGACGUAUGCUGACGUAAAAAGUUCAAGCUGGACAGAUUUCCAAAUACUGAAAUAGCGAUAAGGUGUAUGAGACAGCUAUCCACCAGAAUUCAAAUGACUUGGAUAAAAGAAAUUAUAGGUCACUGUACGGCUUUCAAAACUGAGAAAACCAAUGCCAUAUAGUCCACUUUGAAGCCUUGACAAACAAAUGUUAAUUUUUUCUCAACACAAUUGAAACAAAACAACUAACUGCCUACAUUAAAUACACAUUAUGAAAAAGAAAUUUGACAGACUUAAACCAACAACAACUUUUGCAAUAAGCAUGACUCAAUACCUUGUUUCCGAGGCACACAAACAAGUUACAAUAACACUAAUAUAAGCACCAUUUGAAUAUGAAGAUUUUUUUUCCUAGUAAAAUCAGUGUAUGUAUGUAUUUGCAAAACAGUAAAUUCAAUUUCCCUUAACAGCUUAAUGAACAUUACAAAGACUAUGUAAGACUUCAGUACAAGCAAGAUAAUAUAAACUGUUGCUUAAAAUUAUAUUUAUUGCUUCAUACACACAAUGUACAUACAAUGUAUCUUUUAUUUUUUAACAGGAGCUAAAAGAAAAGCCACAAAGGACAAGUUCAAUAUGCAGGUUUACAAUUUGGAAGUGGCGCAGGUUCUUUGGAAUGUCUACAACCUUUCAGGAGAAUUUUUUUUUGAAAAGCAUGGCACAGCAAGAAAAAGAUAUAAGACACUACAAGACAUUCCAAGUGAUUUUGAAUAAGACAAUUGAUUGACUUUUUCAAUGUAUUCUUAAAUAAAUCAAAUAGUUGAUGUAAAA